UACGGGGGGGGCAAGCGUUGUUCGGAAUUACUGGGCGUAAAGGGCGCGUAGGCGGUUGGAUAAGUUGGUGGUGAAAACCUCGAGCUUAACUCGGGGCCUGCCAUCAAUACUGCCCGGCUGGAGUGUGGGAGAGGAGAGUGGAAUUCCCGGUGUAGCGGUGAAAUGCGUAGAGAUCAUGAGGAAGACCAGUGGCGAAGGCGGGUCUCUGGACAGUUCCUGACACUGAGGCACGAAGGCCAGGGGAGCAAACGGG
rnacentral:rRNA from 1 species